UCUGUCCCUAGCAGCAUUGCAGGUGUGGCUGCUGUGUCACAUGUGCACCAGUAGAUAGACGGCAGAGAAGGGAGAGACUAUGUCUAUGCUCAGUGUUCUGACCUAAAAACAUCUGAAUGAUUAGUAGCCUAGCAUU